rnacentral:lncRNA from 1 species
UUAAAAUUACCAAUUACAGUCCGUGUAACGUAAAAGUUAACAAUACGAACGAUGCCCGAACCAUGUACGGACGAUGCCCGAACGAUGUACGUACGCUGCCGAACGGUGUACGAAUGCAAACGAAACGCUGACCGAACGUUGUACGGACGCUGAACGAAUGAUGUACGAACGAAACCAUGUACCAUAAACCAUACCAUAAACGAUAACAUAAGCGCCCUUUUAUCGUAUCUCCUAUGGUUUUGCGUUAAUCGUUUCAUUUAGCGUAUAUCGUAUCGUUUAGCGUACAUCGUUUCGUUUAGCGUAUAUCGUAUCGUUUAGCGUACAUCGUUUCUUGGCGUGCAUAGUUUCGUUUAGCGUAUAUGUUUUUUUUUUAAAUAUAAAACAUGAAUUGUGUUCUGUUAAAUCUUUUUAUAUAGGUGAUAACAUGCGUAAAAUUCGGAUCAAUCAACAUUUUUUUGAAAAUAGCCUAAGGUAUCACCCUUUUUUUUCAAAUGAACAAUUCAAGUUAUUUUAGAUGGAAGUCGGAAUUAAUAUAAUGUUCUUACAAAAAUAUAUUCCGUGUCUUAAGGUUGACUUUUUGUUCAAAAAGAUUGUUAAAUAUUUUUUAUGUAUUCUCUUUUAGAGCAUGUCUUUUAAAAUCGACUGAAUAGCAGUUUUAUCUAUAU